rnacentral:rRNA from 1 species
GCGCGAAAACUUUGCAAUGCGGGAAACCGUGACAAGGGAACUCUGAGUGCCCGUUAAAUCGGGCUGUCCACCGGUUUAAAUAACCGGUGAAGAAAGGGCCGGGCAAGACCGGUGCCAGCCGCCGCGGUAAUACCGGCGGCUCGAGUGGUGGCCACUAUUACUGGGCUUAAAGCGUUCGUAGCUGGUUUGUUAAGUCUCUGGGGGAAAUCUUCCGGCUCAACCGGAAGGCGUCUCAGGGAUACUGGCAGACUGGGGACCGGGAGAGGUGAGAGGUACUCCAGGGGUAGGAGUGAAAUCCUGUAAUCCUUGGGGGACCACCUGUGGCGAAGGCGUCUCACCAGAACGGCUCCGACAGUGAGGGACGAAAGCUGGGGGAGCAAACCGGAUUAGAUACCCGGGUAGUCCCAGCUGUAAACGAUGCGCGUUAGGUGUAUCGGUGACCACGAGUCACCGAGGUGCCGAAGAGAAAUCGUGAAACGUGCCGCCUGGGAAGUACGGUCGCAAGGCUGAAACUUAAAGGAAUUGGCGGGGGUAGCACCACGAACGGGUGGAAGCCUGGCGGUUUAAGUCGGUAA